GAACAUCUAUUAACCAUAUUGAAGAGUUCCUGUUUAUUCUAACAGACAUGUAUUACCAUACUUUAUACAUUUGUUAUUUCAUCUGGUGAAUUGUUGUCAAAAAAAGAAGAUAAUUCUACAAUUAAGGGCUGCUAAAUGAAUUGUUGAUGCUGUUCCAGGAGAUAGUGGAACAUUAGGCAGGUCACUGUGAUGGGGUUAUAACAGUAUUGUUCAUCCCAAGUAACAGUAUAAAUAUGAUACAUUAAAGGUCACCGGAAAAGCAUCAAUUUUUUUUUAAAUAAUGCAAGUAAUUAUGUCAACAUAUCCUUUCCAUAAGUAUAACCCGAGCCCGAACGUCAAUAAUACCUGCAACAGUUGCUGGGAAUGACACCUCUCUUCACGUUAGUGUUAUCAAAGAAGAAAAAUCUUUACAGUUAUUGAUUUUUAAAAUGAAGCCAUUCUGUUUCUUUGAAACUGUUGAGAAAAUGACAGAGGAAAAAGUGUUAAGAAAAAAACCUAUUGUGUUAUCUAAAGCUUUUAAUCAAUAAACAGAAUGAAAUGGG